rnacentral:tRNA from 1 species
UAGCUCAGUUGGAGGAGUGUGAGACUCUUAAUCUCAGAGUUGUGAGUUCGAGCCCCAC